rnacentral:misc_RNA from 1 species
GAAACAAUGACCGCAGCAGUACAGCGAGAAGGACAGCAACAGACUCAUUUCGCCGACGACGGUGACGACGAUGACGUUGACGUCGCCGGCGGUGGCGGUGGAGGAGGAAUGGAGUCCAUAGAAGACUCUUCUCAUCACAUUGGCUACGACCAUAACCACCACGGGCUCCACAACGGCACCGAUGGUACCAUAGCUACUACAGCGGCGGCGCUGAAUGGUGUAGAAGGCGUUCCGCAUAACUCUCUAUAUGUCCCUGGCUCGGAAAUGGUUGGGGGAGGAAGUAGCGAUCAGCUUACGCUGUCAUUUCGAGGCGAAGUGUUUGUGUAUGAUGCUGUUUCUCCUGAAAAGGUUCAGGCGGUGCUGCUGCUGUUGGGGGGAUAUGAAGUCCCUGCUGGCAUCCCUACUGUCAAUAUGGCUUCCCAGAGUCAUAGGGCUUCAAGUGAAGGUCCUGGAAGAUUGAAUCAACCACAACGGGCGGCUUCUUUGAGUCGUUUUAGGGAAAAAAGGAAAGAAAGAUGCUUUGAUAAAAAGAUCCGAUAUACUGUUCGGAAAGAAGUUGCACUUCGGAUGCAGCGAAAAAAGGGUCAGUUUACAUCUUCCAAGACAGUAUCUGAUGAAGCAGCUUCUUCUUCUGCAGAGGGGAAUGCAGGCUCUAGCCAAGAAGAACAGGAAACAUUAUGUAGACAUUGUGGAACUAGUUCGAAAUCCACUCCUAUGAUGCGCCGUGGACCAGCUGGCCCGAGGUCACUUUGCAAUGCAUGUGGACUUACAUGGGCCAAUAAGGGGAUUUUAAGAGAUCUUUCUAAAGUUUCAACUACAGGAGCUCAGGAGCUUUCUGUAAAAUCUAGCGAACAGAAUGGUGAAGCUGAUGGAUCAGAUGUUAUGGCGGCUGCUGGUAUAAUCACAUCAGAUGAUGAGAACAUGGUGCUUCCGUCUGAAUGAUGAUAAGAGGAGAGCUCUCUCACUAAAAUAUUAUGCGUCUAAUAUUUGC